rnacentral:lncRNA from 1 species
AAUAAAUAAAUAAAUAAAUCUUUUUUUAAAGUGUACAUUCUUCCCAAAGUUUACACACUUCUUUGAACAAAACUCUAUAUUGUUGCAUCUGUUUUCUACUGUAUGCUCCUAAUCUCAAUAUUCUAGAAGUAGGAGGCUGUCUAAGUUUUAAGCUAACCUGGUCUACAGAGUAAGUUUCAAGACAGCCAGUGCUACUCAGAGAAACUUUGUCUCAAAACACAAAAAAACAAACAAAUAAACAACCCCCAGAAAACAAACCCAAAGAAGAAAAUUCACUAAAAUAACAUCCUUUAGCAGGCAACUUUAUCUUAUCAAGUGGGAUAUAAAAGAAAACAGUUUUUAAUCAGUGUACAAAAAUCAGCUGUUAAUGCUUAAAUUUAUUAUUUGCUUUAGUUACUCUGUUUCUUGGCUUUUCUUAUAUUUGAAUUGUUACAUAUAUUAUAUGAAGCAAACAAUUAGACCUAUGUUUAUUGCAUAGUAGAAAAUAGGAAAACAACAUAGAAGAAUGGGCACUUAAGGCUGAUUACGCUUUCUAAAACAAAUGCAGUUUCUCUAAGCUAAUUGUUAUCAUGUAUAUUGUGUGUAUAUAUGCACUAUAUAUUUAUAUAUAACCAAGUUUCAGUGAUAUCUAUUCCUUUCUCUAUUCCCAUCGUCUCCAGUAGUCCUUGGUCCUUCCUCGUUCUUCUAACACCCUUGCUCAUGACCCAAACUUUCUGCAUCUAGUUUGUUAAAAUUGUUCAUAUUAUUUAAAACUAUUCCCUCCCAAGCCCAUGUUCAACUAGAAAAUUCUCAGCACAAACCAGUUAAAACCAUUACUUUCUCACCUACCAAUGUAUAAAUAAUCAUAUAUAUUUGCCAACGUGAAGCUUCACAUCCAUCAUCUACAACAGUAUACAAUUCACAUGUUGAAUAUUCUUAUAUUAAAUAACCUUAAUGAUACAAAACCCUACAAAUGUUCAUAGUGUGGUAUCAGAUUCAGUCUUCUUUCUUUCCUUCUUGCUUUGUUUUUUUCCUCCCUCCUUCCAACCCUAUCCCCUUUGUCUUUUUAUUCUUCUCUUCUUUACCACAUAUGACGAGUAUCAGCAGAAUGAAUAUCCAAGGCAAUGGUUCUUGAGAGGCGUCUCCAAACCAGCAGAAUCAACAUCACUUGAAAAUGUGUUUGAAAAGUUAAUAUUUUUGCCUCAGUCCAGACCGCUUCUCUCAGAAGCUCUGGAUUGGGGCCACUAAAUGUCUUAGCAUUGGGGCAAGGGUCUGAAUCUGAAUUCAUAAAUACUGUGGGAUGACAGCCAUGCAAUGCAAGUGAAUCUACCUCCAGUGGAGGUAAAAGAGAAGGGCUCAAGCUUGGACUACCCUUGCAUCGUGACUGCAUCCACAAGGCCCCAAGUAUGAGAACAGCAUCUUGUUUAAUGCAUAGGUCUGUCUGGAAGUGCCUUCAACACAGGGCAUGUAAAGGUGGUGGUGCCAGCAGCCCCAUACUCCAGCAGUCCCAUCUCUUUAUAGAGCAAGGGAGUGCACCUCCAAUGUUACCUUGGGCUGCAACAGUGGCAGCUUUAAUGCAUCACAAUUUCGCAAACACUAGAUCCUGCUGCACAUAUUGGUGAUGAGCAGGGGCCAGGUAAAUACACUGGCUUUCACUUUCUCCUUUAUGGGCUCUAUAUCUUGGAUUCUCUGGUGAGCAUUUCAGAGUGUGUACACGGGGAGAGACUUGGGAGAUGUGAUUUCCCAGCCAUGACAAUAUUACCAUUAACUCAUUCACUCAUUCAUUCACUCGUUCAUUCAUUCAUUCAUUCAUUCAUUCAUUCAGACAGAAGCCACUUCAGAAAUUAUUUCACUCUCAAUGAUUGUAUGCAACUUUUACUGGAAUGUAUGUCCCCUACAUAUACCUAAUACAUUUACAAUACUCUUCUUAACUGAAAUUCCUUUCUUGGUCUUUCAGAGGAGAACCUACUAGGGUAUACUCCAGCUUUAGGAAAGGCAAUUGAAAAAGCUAGAUCUGAUUUUUCCAGUAAAAGACUUUGUGGCCAUUAAAAGAGUGCUGCAGUUCCUCUCAGUGUCAAUGCCCCUUUCCAUUUUAGUAACCUACUUUCCCUUACCUUAUCAAGAAAGUUUAUUUGCUACAGUGUUAACUGCUAUUCAUUAAUAGUAUUAAAUUAAAAUAAUAGACUUAAAAUAAAUCCUGAUAUUCAUUUCACAUUGACCAAAGACCAUAGACACUGGCACCAUCUUAGAGAGCCAAGGUCCUUGCACCAAAUGUUUGUGAAACAUUUUUAUAAUAGCGAUACCCAUAUCUCUAAUCAUCCAUAUUAGUUAUUGGAUAUGAAUGAUGUUUUUCACCUAGUUAAGACUAAUAUGUUACAUGAUAACAGAAUUCUAGAUUUAUCCUAUCCAACACAAUUUGAUAUGGAUCACAUACAGAAUUUGAAAUAUUUUUUGAGGACACAGGUCUGUGGUAAAGGUGUAGCAUGGCCAGAGGCCUAUAUUCAAUCUACUGUACUUCAAAAACAAACAACUUAUUAUUUUCUACCUUCUGUGAGGUAGAAGAAAGAGGAUGAGGACAAAACCAGGUUUAGCUAUGUAGGUAGUUCAACAGCAACCUAGACUAAAUGAGACCCAGUCUUAAAACGAACAAACAAUAACAAUAUUUACAACCACAACUUUAAAACUUUAAAAGUCAAAUUUUGAAAGGUGAGGAGUUAUAGGUAAAGGGAAUCACAGUUCUAUAGUCUACUUAGUGUACCCAGCAUAUUGUCAUUGCAGGAUAUAAUCCAUAUGAAAAUCAUGAAUAUUCUACAUUCUUUUUUAUCUCUGAAGUUACCCUCAACUCUUCCCAGAUCUACCCUGCUUCCCUACCCACUCAGAUUUGUGCCAUCCUUAGUUUUUAACACCAAUGACAGUAUUAACUUAUACCAGUUAUGUUCAUGGAUGGGCAACUUUAUGCUGUAGAGUGUGAUAAACUUACCAAGGUCAACACUCUUAAAGAAAACUGACUCUGCUGUCAGUUGGCCAUCACCCCCUGUCUAUAGGGUGGGGUUUCAUGCCCACCUCCCCUCUCUACUCUGGAUUCUGUCUGACUUGAGUUUGUGUUAUGCUUGCUGUUACAACAGCUGUGAGUUCAUUUGUUUAGCUAACCCCUGUGCCUGGAAGACAGUUUCCUUCUGGUCAUCUGCCUUGUCUGGUUCUUAUAAUUUUUCUGCCAGUUGUACUACAAUGAUCUCUGAAGCUUGAGAGGAAGGGAUGUGCUAUAGAGCUAUACAUUGUUUUAUUUUUCACAUCUUGCCCAUUUUUGGAUCUCUGUGUUAAUCAUCUCCUGAAAAUAGAACCUUCUCUGGUAACAUUUAAGAGAUGGGUUAACCUGUAUGUAUAAUAAUAAGACAUUAGAAGUUAUUUUAAUACUAUCUGUUUAGCAGAAUAAUGGUAGUAGGUUCUCCCAUUAGGCCUAGAAAAUAUCUAGUCAUAGAUUCUUGGCCUGAUAGUGGUGCCAAUCUUAUGGAGUUUCAUCUUGUGGAAAGAGCUUUAAAUCCAGACAGGAGUAGUUUCCUCUUGUGGAAGGAUCCUUAAAUCCAAUCAGAAAGUAGUUGGUUACUCUCAUAAUGUCUGUGUCACUAUUGCACCAGUGAGCAUUAUUUGCUGGACCAUCACUAUAUUGCAUUUCCCAGGAUUCAUAGCUGGGUGACACUGAUUGGCUACUUUUCUCCUCCUGUAGUAUUCACAGCACUUUCCAACACCAUGAAACCUAGUCACAUGCCAUGAAGCCUCCAGAUCAAUGCCACUAUGAUAUCUCUAUGCUAUAUGUCUCUACAUAUCAUAUAUUUAUAUGAUAUACAUGUGCUAUAAUGUAGUGUCUUCAGUGAGAAGGUCUUACCAUUAAGUUCUGGAGGAUCACCAAUGGCACUAGCAGUCACCUGUAAUCUGCACAUGCUACCAACUACAUUUUUUUUUGUUAGUCUGUGGUAUCUAGUAUGGGCAUUGCUAUACCAUAUUGCCAUGUUGUUAUAGUGUUAACCAUUUUAAUUGAAUACAUACACACACACACACACACACACACACACACACAUUCUGAAGUCAUAGGUUGGUUUCUGUAUUACUUCCUCAUUGUCCCUUUUCUACCCUAUCAUUCCCAACAGAAAUUUGAUGCUUCCUCUUCCAUUGUUCCCCUUUAAUCCUUUAUCCCACUGUGACUUCAAAGACCACCCCAACACACACACACACACACACACACACACACACACACACACACACACACACACACACACACACACACAUACACACAGAGUUCCUUACUAGUUUCCUGACUUACAUGGGUUUUCCAAGUGAAACAUACAUAUCUGAAUAUUCAAAGCGAACACCCACAAAUGAGAGAAAAUAUGCAACACUUGUUCUUCUAGGUCUGACUUGCCUUGCUCAGAAUGGUUGUUUCUAGCUUCAUCCCUUUACUUGAAAAUGUCUUAAUUUUCUCUUUCUUAAUUGCUAGAUAUUCCAUUGUUUGAUGGUUGCAUUUGUAUUGUCCAUUGAUUGGUUGAGGGACUUCUAGGCAUCUCCAUCUUCAGGCUAUUAUGAAUAAGGCAGCAAUAAACCUAGAUCAGCAGGUAUAUAGAGUCACAUAGCAUUCUAUGGGUGUACACACGAGGGAAACCUCUGCACUGCUCUCUGCAGUAACUGUUCCUGUGCACACUCUACCAGCAGUGUAUAGUGUUCCCCUUUCCCCACACCAUGCCAGUGUUUGUCAUCACAUCUGACUGAAGAUGAGAUCUCAGAGUAGUUUUAAUUUGCAUUUCUCUGAAGGAUAUGAGUGUUGAACUUUUCUUUUCAAUAUUUCCGAGUCAUUUGUAUUUUAUCUUUUAGGACUUCCCUGUUUAGUUUCAUCCCCUAUUUUCAAAUUGGGUUGUUUGUUUUAAUGGUGUCUAGCUUUUCAAGAUUUUAUAUGUUCUAAAUGUCCUUGUCAGGUGUAUAACUAGUAAGAUUUUUUUCUCAUUUUGUAGUCUUUUUCUUCAUUUAAAUAUACAACAAACUAAACUACAAAACUUGCCAUGAAAAAAAUUUACCAAUGAGAUGAUACAAUGCGUAACACAUGCACCAAAUUUAUAGGAACACUGUCAGAUAUUAAACACAGGUUGACCAAUACAAGGUUAUUGGUGAUUUCAAUACCCCACUCUCACUAAUAGAUGGAUCAUCAAGAGAGAAAAAGUACAAACAAAACAAUGAGCUAAACAGAGAAACUCUGGAGUUAAAUAGCAUCAUAAAUCAAAUGGACUUACAGAACAUUCCGCCUAAACACUAAGGAAAUACAUAUUUUUUCAACAGCCCAGGGAACUCUCUCUAAAAUUGACCACAUAUCAGGACACAAACACACAAAAGACUCUAAACAAAUACAGGAAAAUUGAAAUAACAUCCUGGAUUCUAUUUGACCACAAUGGAAUAAAACUGCGUAUCAACAGCAUAGAAACUGUAGAAAGUACACAAACUCAUUAAAACUGCAUGGCACACUAGUGAAGGAAAAUUGCGUUAGGGAAGCACUUCAAAAGGAAGUUUGAAAAGUCCUAGACUUGAAUAAAGAUGAAACAACAACGUACCAAAACCCAUAGGAGACAAUAAGAGGAAAUUCUACACUGAAAGUUUAGAGAGUUAAGUUUCUAUAUCAAAACAAUCAAGAGAUCUCAACCAGUAACUGAAUGAUGCACAUUAAAGUCUUAAAAAAAUAAGAACAACCAACACUCUUCCAAAAAUAGAUGGGAAGACAUAAUCAAAGUCAGGGAUGAAGUUAAUCAUUCAGCAAUGAAAAAGAUCAAUACAAACACUCAGUGAAACAGUUGGCUCCUUGAAAAGAUGAAAAGAAGCAACAAACCUUUAGCCAAGGUAACCAAUAGAAAAUGAGAUCCAAAUUAAUAAAAUUACAGAUAAAAAGAAAGACAUUACAACAGAUGCCAAGGAAAUUCAGAGAAUCAUGAAGACAUCCUUUACAUUUUUUGAGAAUUUUAUACAUAAAGACUAUAUUUACAUCAUUUUAUGUCUUCUCUUUAUUCCAACUCUUCCUGGGUGCCCCCACUCCCUCUCAAAUUUAUGACCUCUUUGUUAAUUAUUAUUGCUACACACAGAAAUACACAUAGACACAUAUACUAUAUAUAUGAACCCAUAUACAGAUCAUACAUAUAGCACAUAUAUAUUAUAUAUUCCUUUCAGCAUAUCUAUAUAUGCAUAUAUAUAUACAUGAAUUAUUAUAUAUGUAUAUGCACAUUAUAUAUUAUAUGAUGUAUAUGAUAUAUACAUGAUAUAUACAUAUGUAUACAUAAAUACAGACUAUAUAUGUGCAUGUAUGUGUAUAUAUACAUAUAUGUGUGUAUAUAUACAUAUAUACAUACACACAUACACAUAUUCAUAUAUCUCCUAUUCAGUGUUGCUUACACAUACAUGUGAUUCAGGCUGACUACUCAGGAUUGGAUAACUUAACCUAUCAUGGUUCUCAUCCUUGAGAAGCAUGACUCUCCCUCUCUCAGCAGUAUUGAUUGCCCAUAGCUCUUCAUCUAGAGGAGUUUCAAGUACUUGGGAGGCUUAUUUCUUAGAGACUUUCCUCAAGGAUUAGAAUUAAGAUGCAGAAAUGUGCAAAUAAUAAGCAAUAGAGUUAAGUUCUUGCUGGGUAUGAAGAAACAGACAGGAGCCAGAGACACAGAACAGCUUGCUGUUGCCACCCAACUGUAGCCAUAGGGAAUAAAGAUAGGUAAGAGAUUGUCAUGCUUGAAGGGUUACUAUAUACAUAUUGUACAGUAAGUACUACUAGACUGCUUUCUAGACUGUGUGAACACAUUCCCUAAAAAUAGAGUGCAAAAUGAUUCACAACUUCUGAGGGCUGUGCUCGGUCCUGGGACCUGAAGGGUAGCUAGCCUAAAGCCACCUCAUCAAACUGGACCUAAUGUCCAGCCACUUUUUUCUAUUAGCCCAAAACUGUUUGUAUUUGUAAGAAGAGUAAAGGACCCAAGAAGAAAGGGACGGGGAGAAAAAAAAAUAAAUGAGUUUAUAGUUAUUUCUAAGUAUAUUUGAAUAUUUACAACUAUUUUCUUACACAUCAAUUCCAUAAACACAGAGCUGGAAAAUGUCUUAGCAACAAAACUAUGGUACUAAAAAUAAGGUAAAUAAGAAGUCAGAGAAACUACAAUGGACUGCCAAAAUGUCCAUCAUCCAUAACACAAGUAUCUUUUACACAUCUACAAAUUGAAACAUCAUUUCUCUUUCUCCCUGGUCCAGAAAAUACAUGGAGAAAAAGUUCAUCCCCCCUGCAUGCCUUGUUUAUUUUAUGCCUCUCCCAUUUUAACAGACUCAAUAAACAGAGGAACCAGGAAAGUACCAUGGGUAAGAAUUUCAAGCUGUCAGCUGAUGGCGUCAGAGAACUCCGGGUGCUCAUUGUGGUGACCCUUCCGUGAAGAAAGCCAUCCUCUUGGAAGGGUCAAGGACCGGCAUGUCCACGUCAACCCUCGUGCUCUGUGUUUAUAUCCAGCCAACAGGACACGUUUGUGCGCACGCAUGCCAAGAACUUCCGGUGUGAACCUUCUGCGGGCUAGGCAGAGAGCAUGCCCAGUGGGGUGAGACAAGCUCUCUUGUAGUUUAAAGAGUGCUUGGCUUGCAGCUUCGUUUCCUUUCAGGGGAAGGGGCUGCUUGUUUUUCUCUUGGGGAAACAUCCUAUUUGGAUGUCUCAAAGGAAAAAGAAAAAGUCAGAAAGCUUCGUUUCCGAGUUACUUCCUCUUUAAGACCAGAACAUCUGCUGACCUUUUCCAGAUUCCCUGCCCAGAACUGCUAAAGGACCUUGAGCCUUUCAAGCCAUGGGCUCGACAUCAAAAUAGCACUUUAGACGUUUCUUCUUUCCUUUAGUCCUUGCCACUUCAUGAUGAUUGACUGCGUUCAUCUCUCCUUUUCCAGCUGAGAAUAAAAUUACUAGCCAUGUUGGAAUUAGCCAUUUUUAACCCGAGUUGGCUUUUGGAUGCUCACCAUUACACCACCAGAUGCCUUUGCCUGCCUUUAGAACAUGUUACCUCGAGUACUAACUGUAUCCCCAGACCAAACCAGACCUGCCUGAAUCCUAUACUCAGAUGUCAGAAUUGAGAAAGAGGAAGAAAGAAA